rnacentral:rRNA from 1 species
UACGGAGGGUGCAAGCGUUGUCCGGAUUCAUUGGGGUUAAAGGGUGCGCAGGCGGGCCAUUAAGUCAGGGGUGAAAGACGGUUGCUCAACAAUCGCAGUGCCUUUGAUACUGGUGGUCUUGGGUGACCUUGAGGUAGGCGGAAUGGGUGGUGUAGCGGUGAAAUGCAUAGAUACCACCCAGAACUCCGAUUGCGAAGGCAGCCUACUGGAGGUUCACCGACGCUCAGGCACGAAAGCGUGGGGAUCAAACAGG